GAUGAACGCUGGCGGCGUGCCUAAUACAUGCAAGUCGAGCGAACAGACGAGGAGCUUGCUCCUCUGACGUUAGCGGCGGACGGGUGAGUAACACGUGGAUAACCUACCUAUAAGACUGGGAUAACUUCGGGAAACCGGAGCUAAUACCGGAUAAUAUAUUGAACCGCAUGGUUCAAUAGUGAAAGACGGUUUUGCUGUCACUUAUAGAUGGAUCCGCGCCGCAUUAGCUAGUUGGUAAGGUAACGGCUUACCAAGGCAACGAUGCGUAGCCGACCUGAGAGGGUGAUCGGCCACACUGGAACGGGGACCCGGUCCAGACUCCUACGGGAGGCAGCAGUAGGGAAUCUUCCGCAAUGGGCGAAAGCCUGACGGAGCAACGCCGCGUGAGUGAUGAAGGUCUUCGGAUCGUAAAACUCUGUUAUUAGGGAAGAACAAAUGUGUAAGUAACUAUGCACGUCUUGACGGUACCUAAUCAGAAAGCCACGGCUAACUACGUG
rnacentral:rRNA from 1 species